AACAAGGAAUCAAACGGUUGUGCAAUUAUUGAAUAUUUAUUGUAAUUGACUCAUUCACCAAACAUGGUGCAAAGUUAUGGACCUCUCUCUUUCAUAUGCACAAGUUGUACAAGACAUAUCUUAUGUCCUUAAAGCCAGUGCCAGUCAACUUAAAGCAAUUGUCUAUCAAAACCUAAUAACUAUGGCUAGAAACUGCAGCACAAUUAUAACACGUGCAAUUUGGAAUUCUAGUUAUACAUGCAAAAGAGGAAAUGCUAAAACUUGAACAAAUUUUUGUGAACCUUCAACACCAAUCGACAUGUCAAUGAAACCCUGUUUGCCGUCCGAUGAAUAACCUUAUGAUCUCUACUUCCCCCUAUUUGAACAGCCUUCCCAGGUUCUAACAAUGGCUGGUCAAAUUUAUGACUUACCAGAGGUUCUGCAUCAUUUAUGGCCCCAUCAUAUUGAUGCACCUCGCUAUCUUUUAUACCAUGCAGGUAGUCUGAAUAGGCAUUAUCCUUGAAUAUCAGUAGACUACGAGGCAUCAGCAAGACAGAAAAGGGAUGGUGAUUAUCCAUCUUUUUAUCUGUCUCAAUCUUUAAAGGUUCUUCACCAGAUCCUUCACUUUUAACAUCAUUGUCCCCUGAAUCUGUGCAUGUUCUUAACCUUGAAUGCGGAAUAAAGUCCAUGACAGUAGGCGAUCCAAGAGAGAGAAUAGCAACUACAGGAAAAUAAGCAGGCCCAUCCUGGUGUGGCAUUAUUCCCUGGUCAGGAAGGUACUCAUUGAUGAGAACAUGAUUGAUUGCUGAGGGGAACAACCCUGAUUCUUCAUAUAUUCUUUGCGUAAUCUUUGUUAGCCAAGGAGGCACUGCAAUAGAGUUUUCUCAGCAGAUUGUCAAAAUAAUACAUCAAAUUAAGAACAAAUUCAGGAUGAAAUUUACAACAUUAACCUAUAAAAUAAAAUCUCAGAAUUUCCUAACUUCUUUGAUGGUAUGUGUUAAGCAACAUAUCAACAAUAGCACCAACAACCCAUAGUUCAAUGAGUUACUAAAGGAAUGAGAUGCAAUGGGUUUUAUUGUUAUUAAAACAGCAUAGUGUAACGACUGAAACUGAAAAUCAAUUAGUAAAAUGAUUGAUACAUGAUCUCAAACUUUUGAAAUGGACACUAAAAGCAUGUUGAGAAAAAUAAUUUAUAGGCAAACAAUCAUAAUAAUUUUUUUUUAAUGUCUGAUUCUUUGAAACAUUACUUUCAAAAUCUUUAAACAACAGUAAGAAACUUCAGAACAUGGUUUCAUAUUUAACAGCCAAAAAAUAUUCCCUGUAAAUGGUCCUAACAAGUAUAAAAAUACUGCCUGCUCUAUGAGCUAACUUUAAAAGUUGCAGAUGUGCACGAAAAGCAUAUUUGCAACCCAUUGGACCACAAUUGUUAAUGACUCAAAUAUUAUCAUUUACAGAAUCAGAAAAGAAAAUAACAGCAGUAAACUACAAACUCCGAAACCAAACAUGACACAAAAUACCUAACUAUGUGCAACUCAAGAAAUGGCUAAAGAGUCAGUCUGCUGUCUGCACUUCCAACCAGAACAAUCUGCAGUUCCAAGAAGAACAAGCCAAGGGUUGCAAUGAACAAUUUCAUAGAUUGAAGCAUACAUUUGGAGCAUCUGAACUUUUGAUACAAGUUUGAACACAAAUUUGAAUCAUCGAACGAUGGUCUAAAGGUAGUAAAUUAAAACUGAAAAACAAUGUAGAAAUAAAACAAAAUGAACACAUCUCAGCAAAGCAGACUACUAAAUUUUCUAAAGCACAACCAUAACCAGGAGAGUUCAAACAAGAUAUUAUUUCCCACUUACAGUCCUGUGGUAGAAGACCCUUCUCAUGGACAACACCACCCCAAUUCUGAAGCCUCCUAUUCUUCAAAGAUUUCCACUUUGAUACAGGAGCGCCAUAUACCCUAUCUAAAAGAUGCAUUUCUUCACUCUCUGUGAUAAAGUCAGGCUUGUAUAUCACAGUUGGUAAAUCCCCCACUUGAAAGUUAUUCAAUUUUCCUUCCAUUUACCUGCCAUAAUGAACAAGAAAUUUUACUAAGGAAAGAAGAAUGCAAAAAAUGAAGGCCAAGAAAUCCUCCAAAGACAAACAUAAGACCAAAGAAUUUACUAUUAGAAUAUUAAAAAGGUAAAAACUCCAUCACCCAAAGCCAAAGACGCUUCUCUGCUGCUCUUCCUCUUCUUCUUCUGCUUCUUCGCCGCCGCUCCCACUGCCCCCGCUGCCGCUGCCGACUAUACUGGCACCUGAACGGACCUGGCAAGCAAUCGGAAGACGUCGAAAAUGAAAGCGAC
rnacentral:misc_RNA from 1 species